rnacentral:rRNA from 1 species
AGCGAACGCUGGCGGCAGGCUUAACACAUGCAAGUCGAGCGGGCACUUCGGUGUCAGCGGCAGACGGGUGAGUAACACGUGGGAACGUACCCUUCGGUUCGGAAUAACGCUGGGAAACUAGCGCUAAUACCGGAUACGCCCUUUUGGGGAAAGGUUUACUGCCGAAGGAUCGGCCCGCGUCUGAUUAGCUAGUUGGUGGGGUAAUGGCCUACCAAGGCGACGAUCAGUAGCUGGUCUGAGAGGAUGAUCAGCCACACUGGGACUGAGACACGGCCCAGACUCCUACGGGAGGCAGCAGUGGGGAAUAUUGGACAAUGGGCGCAAGCCUGAUCCAGCCAUGCCGCGUGAGUGAUGAAGGCCUUAGGGUUGUAAAGCUCUUUUGUCCGGGACGAUAAUGACGGUACCGGAAGAAUAAGCCCCGGCUAACUUCGUGCCAGCCGCCGCGGUAAC